rnacentral:rRNA from 1 species
UACGUAGGCAGCAAGCGUUGUUCGGAGUUACUGGGCGUAAAGGGUGUGUAGGCGGUUGGAUAAGUGUGGGGUGAAAUCUCCCGGCUCAACUGGGGAGGGUCACUCGAUACUGAUCGACUCGAAGGCAGGAGAGGGAAGUGGAAUUCCCGGUGUAGUGGUGAAAUGCGUAGAUAUCGGGAGGAACACCAGUGGCGAAGGCGACUUCCUGGCCUGUUCUUGACGCUGAGGCGCGAAAGCUAGGGGAGCAAACGGG